AAGAAAAAGAGAGGUUUCAAACACCAUAAAGAAGUAACAUCUUCAGUUUUUAAAUAUUUCUUCCUUCAGUUACCUGCCUUAGGUUAGUCCUUUAUGGUGAUUCAAUCUCUUCUUUUUCUUGCAAAUAAGAUAAUGGAUAAGGAAGUAAUAAAACUGGUUCACGUACAUUUAAAGAAAAUGGAGCUCCCGGAAUCUUCUUUAAAAACACAUAUAAUUUUAAUAUUUCUACAGGCCGUUAAUUGGCUGUAACUUGUUAUCAUUAUGGAUAUAAUGUAUAGGGGUCCUAAACAGAUAGUCAUGUGUUAAAAAAUGGCUACAAAGCAACAGUUUCCAUUAGGUGGUGCUUGUCAAAGUUCCAUAGAUGGUUCCAUUCAACAGAUAAUUACAACAUACUGGGUAAUGGUGAUAUCACUGGUUCUGCUUAUCCAUCAUAGUUAUGUUAUAGUUAGUAGGUUGCUAUGUUUUAAUGUGAAUUAAAAGGUUACUUCAACCACCAUGGCCACUUCUGCUGAUAUUGGCACUUGUGUGCCAGGGACAAGUUGCACCCCCAGCACACGUGACUUGGGCAACCUGGAAUUCCGAUUCGGGCUGUCUAAUGUCAAUUCUAUGCAUAAAAAACGUCUGUCCUCAGUGCGCACUUCUCCCUUGCAGGGAGAGCCUUCUGCAAGGGAGAAGCUCUUGUUUCCCCUCAAU